UACGAAGGGGGCUAGCGUUGUUCGGAAUUACUGGGCGUAAAGCGUGCGCAGGCGGCUGCUCAAGUCAGGGGUGAAAGCCCAGAGCUCAACUCUGGAAUUGCCUUUGAGACUGAGUGGCUUGAGUACGGGAGAGGUGAGUGGAAUUCCCAGUGUAGAGGUGAAAUUCGUAGAUAUUGGGAAGAACACCAGUGGCGAAGGCGACUCACUGGACACGUAUUGACGCUGAGGUGCGAAAGCGUGGGGAGCAAACAGG
rnacentral:rRNA from 1 species